CUGCGGUGCGGGCAGCCCGACCUGCUGCGGCGCCAGCCACGGCAGGAAGAGGCGUCCUCGGGGACCAGGACAGCGGCUCGUCGCGGGCCCCGCGGCCCCAGCGCCCGGUCACCGCGCGGGGAGGGGCCGGGGCCGCGGGGCCGGAGACCCUGGUCCUGCAUCCGGCUGCGUGUCCAUCUAAAAGGAUUUGGAUCGCAGGGGGGCCUGAAAGCUCCUUCCGUUGGCGCCUUGGUUCGGAGUUCCAGACCCGAGGAUGGGAAUUCUGCGGGCCCAGAAGACUGACGUGGAAGGAGAGAGGGAAGCCGAGGGAGGGGGCAAGCCCGAGACUUCACAUCUCAGCGUUCCAGCUCUCACACCCUGAAGCUCGGCCGCAGUAGUUGAAUUUCAGAUGAUUUACGCUCAGCUAGCAGAAAAGAUGGAGCCCGCGUGUAUUUUCACAUGUCAGAGGUGUUGAGCAAGCUCAAGGAUGCUGGUAUUCCCUGUUUCAUUCAGCGCCAACCCCCCUCCCUGGACUGGAAUGUCCCAGUGCUCCGUGAAUAAGUCAAGGUUGCAAAGCCUGCAUGUAGACCGAAGGUCAUGACUGCGAGCAACUCAGCACCACCUGACCUUGCUGUUUCAAAUAUUUGUAACCAACCCACUCAGUCUUAAUAACACCCUUUGUGAGUAAAUUUCAAAAAAAAAAAAAAAAAAACAAAUUGCAAUACUCCCUGAAAAGAAAGGAAAAAUUCCAAUUAUAAAUAACAUGAACCGAUGUGUUGCUUAUUUAUGGUUUGAUUCAGUAUUCCCAACGUAAAGAAACACACACACAAAAGGCAGAUUCUCACUCCCUCUGAAGCCGUGAGAGAGACGCAGCCUUGGCAGCGUGGCCUUCCGAGCUGUAGCAUCUGAGCUCGCUCCCUAGGGCUCAGGUCCGUGCACUGCAGUGCCUUUCAGGCACAGAAGCAGCGUCGUGGUGCAGACAAGAGCCGGCUAGAGGCACAGCCCACACAGAGGACUGCAACGCUCACCUAACCUUCCCUUUAGGAGAGAGCCUGGAAGUUGAGGGAGAGAGAAAGAAGCGACUGAUUUGUAUCCCAAAACCGAAUUCUCAACUGACUUGAGAAAAGUGAGUUGCCGAAAGCUGGCCCCACUCAAUAGAGAAUAUUCCCAAAGUAGCACUUGACAUUGCCUUGUUUUGUUUUGUUUUCCUGCCCAAAGGGCCAGCUCCAUAUUGUGCCCCCAUAACAGGACAACAACAUAGGUUUCUGAAAAAGUUACGUUAUGACAAAAAUUACUAUUGGCCAACCUUUUAGGGAACAAUAGAUAGUUCUGUUCAUGGGGAUAUGACAAAUCCCCAGUGCAUUCAUAGAAAUAAUAAACUUUUCAUAUCAUCUCCUUUCCCCCAUCACAUUGUGGUUUGUUAGCCUCUAUCACAAAAAUAUUAGAACUUUUGAGUAGUUCUUCUUGAAGAUUUUUUUCCAUCUUUAAACCUUGACACUGGCAGCAUCUAUCUGUACCCCUGAUUUUGAAUCCUUCGGCCCCAUGGUAAUUCCUUUGCUGUCUCCUCCAUUGGGAUCUCCUGCCUUCCAGAAUUCUGUGUCAGCCCGCCCAGGAGCUGACCUUGGACCUCUUUUCUCUUCCAACACUCCCACGCUCCGUGAUCUCAUCCAGCCUAUGGCUUGAAAUAGCCUCCAUUCACUGAUGUAUAUCUUUAACCCUGAC
ensembl:lincRNA